CUUGGUCUGGAUUCAGCUCACAUAUUCCUUCCCAGCAGCUGAGGAUCCCUAGUGUUGUGAUGAUGAGGACUACAACCCUGGUAACUGGCAAAGGAGCAUGGACUGCUUAAUUCCUGUCAGCGUGGUUUAGAAGUGAUCAAUCCUUGCCGCAACAAAACCUUGAUUGUCACAACACAAGUGACUGAAAGAUGGGAAAUGCUGAAGACAACAGGACAACUUGCGUGUAUAAAGUAUCUGCUCAAAGCCCUUACUGAUUGUGGACUUGAGUCUUGAGUCCAUCAAGUUAAGACAAGUAACCUUGGGAAUGAAUGCCAUAUCUAAUCCCACGAUGUGCACUGUAAGGCACAUCUGUCUCUUUCCAGUAGGGUACAGAAAUGUUCUGAAAUGGUUUCACUUCAGAGGGCUGUGCCAUUUUGCUAAUUACCUCGUCUUUGAAGUUGUUUUAGCCUUUUGUUAACUAGCACAGGAAGAUCUGUGAGUGACAGUCUGAAAACUACAGAAAAUCCAUUAUAUUUCACGUAGCUAAAGUGGAAUUAUAUUUGGAUUUUUUGUUAAAUUAACAUUAUUCAUAUUGGCGGGUCAGAGGUUAAAAGAAUAGAACCCUGCAAAAGGAAGAGCAUAAUUUUUCACUCAAUUUGUGAAUAUAAAAGUCUGAAACAAUGCCACAAAUCAAACUGCUCACUCCAAAUGCUGCAUUUUAAGCAGUCCUCUUCAGAUGCGGUGUUCAAAAAGAUAAGUUAGUUUCAUGAUUUCUCCUUUCUUUUUCAGCCAAUAUCACUGAGAAACAAAGGUAUGGGAGAACCAGGCAUUGUCAGGGUAGUAUGAAAAGUGGUAUUUUGGUUUCAGGUUUAGCUGAAAGACUUAUGCAAGGUAGAGAUAUGGUCAAACUAUUAAAUUCUGUUUCAAAUGGAAGUCACAUCUCGAUUUUAAACACUGGAGAACUCCGAGAUGUUUGGAGAAGUUUGUGGCUCACAUCAACUUCUUGUAAAGACCAGGGGCAACCAGAAAGGUCUGUGUCUGUCCUGUCACACCCACGUGCACCGGUAUGCCACGUGUAUGCCUAUACAGACGUUUUUGCUUUGCUUAUUUCAUCAAAGAGCACAUGAGUACCGCUCAGAAGUGUGAUCCCGAAAUGCUCGUGUCAGAGAAGGACAGAGGGUGCCUGUGGAAAAGAUUGAAAUCAAUGGCAAAAAUAUUGAUUUCCAUGGGGUCAGAUUUCAUAAAUUAAGGGCAGGCAGCUCCAGUCUAAAGAUGGCAGAGGAGAGGGAAGAAGAGGGGCAGAGGGAGCGGACACAGGAAUGUGCUCCCCAGCAGCUGGAGCGGACCAGAGCCCCCCAGAUUCCUCUGCUCCCACUCCAAGUAAGUCCAGGUCUGCUUCCAUGGCAGAGGUUGUUGCAGUAGAAGCCUUCUGGUUUAACUCAAAAAAAGCAAGGGGGUAUUAACCACAUGCAUUUCUUUUAGAGCCUUAACUUUCAGAUCACAGCCACAUCACAGCACAGCCCAAGUGUUAAUCCAAGGCUAGUGGAAAUGCAAGCACCUCGGUACUCUGCACUUAAUUUGGAAAGUGUCUUAAGGCUGAUUUGCCUAAUCACAGACAUUAAUGUAACUUCUUCAUAUUCAUGUUUUAGCACUGGAAAAAUUGCAGAGAAUGUGAACAACCUUCUCAGCCAUUCCCUGCCUUUUCCUUCCUCUUAUUUUUUUUGAUCUGCUGCCUUUCACCAGGAAAUGUUGGUUUAUGUCCUAGAUAAUAAAGUCUGGAUGAAGAAGAAUAGUUCCUUAGUGUUUUCCCCACUAGCAGUCACUGCUGACUAGCAGAAGUUUCUGUACAUCACUCUUGCAGAACCUUGAAGAGUUACUUCAGCCACGGAGAGAAACAAACAUUGUUAACAGGAAAAUAAGACAACUGGGAGUAUUAUACUGAGCUAAAUCAUCCUGUUAUAACAGUACUGUGGUAUUGCAAUUCAGCACCAAAAAUAAUGAGUGUAUUAUUUCAUCUAGUUUUCUUUAUUUUUCCACCUAUAUGGGGCAUUUUUAUUUCUGUACAGUGUCUCAAUCUGAUCAAGAAAAAGGUAUGUGAUCUGCUUGGUUAGCUAAAAAAAAAAAAAAAGGAGACGAAAAAAAUAUUUCUUUGUUCCUUACCAUCUUAAAUAUAAUAUUUCUGUGUCUAUGCUGCUGACAGUAUUCAGCUCUGAGAGUUCUCCCUGCCCCUCAGGACUGAUUGUGUGGAUUCAUUCAUGUCUAUAUUGCUCAAAGCACUCUAGAGAGAAGUGCUAUGUCCAUAUUGCAUUGCACUUGAAGGGUUAUCUUUCUCUGUACCACAUCACAAAGAACUUUGUGCCUACUCAUCGAGAUGCCUCUCUAGCACAACACAAAACGUGCUCACUACUUAUUAGCUCCCCAUGUGACGUGAUGGCUUCAGUAACCUCCAUAAAGGGGAGCAGCCAGGCAGUCUAUAAUUGCUGCCUACAGAAAAACCAGGCUGCCUGUUGCCCCUUCAGCUGCCCUGCAGCCCGCUAGUAGCUCUGAUCCUUUGGGCACUGCUGCAUUUCGCCAGACAGAUUUGGCACCUUUGCAGACCAUUGGCAGAACUCUCACUGUCUGCAGUGGCAUCUGGCGAGUUGCUUGCUGUUCGCUAGCGUGCCACACAAGCAAGACAUCCAGGAGGAGAUGCAGGCUGGCCACUGGAAUGACCGCUAGAAAUGCCGUGUGCCACUCCUGGUCAGUAGCAUCAGCCUGGUGAGCUGCCUGAGUUGCUGUGGCCAACGGUCUUCCCACAGUGGGGAGAGAUUUGGGAGCCAGAAAACCAGUUUCUACUGCUCUGCAUGUGGGAUAGGCUGGAAGUGCUCUGAGCACCUUGUGAGGACCGUUCACCUCCAGCUCUCCGCACCAGCCACUGCCCCUGUGAGAAUCUUGGUUCACACCUAAGGAGGAGAGAAGCUGUGCUCAAUAUAAGGGUCUGGCUGGAUGUCCCUCUUGCCAGCCAGUCCACAGUGGGUCUGAUCAUGACAGAAGACUGUGAAGCCUUUGCCAAGACCAUCUUUUCACAAGUCAUCCAUGUCGCUUACCUUCCUGAGACGGUACGAGCCUUUGCCCACUUCAACCAUGGCCAUGUUGCCCACAGUAUUCCUGUGACAACAUUAACUGCAAGUGGCACCACUUGGGCACCCUGCAAACCACGGUAGACCACGGAGGAGACCUUGUGCACAGCAUAAGUGGAAAUUUCUAGCUGUGGAAUACAGGUUGGGCUCUGAAAUCUGGCAUGUGCAUUUGUCCAGCUGUCUCCAAAGUGGCAAAUGCUGAGGAGAGGCUGGACACUGAGAUCUCCAGGACUGCACAAAGUGCUGGCUACGUUUGGCAGAACCUGUGUGAGGAUGUUAUUGCCUUUCCUUAUAGACCAGUUGCUGCAGGAUUGGGCCUUCCAGCUUUUGUAAGUCCGGCCUGAAACUGCUGCCACAGUUGGACAUGGAGCAGAGAAGACAGACAAACAUAAAAGUUCUCCGUUUCUGGUUAUGUGGCUAUAGGAGCCUGUUCACUCAUUAUCACAGCAGAAUCUGUGGGUCCAAUGGGUCCACCUAGUCCCCACGAAGCACAUAAUACAACACUUUAAUGUAGCAAAAAUGUACCAUUCACCCUCUAGAAAUCAAAGGACACAUAAACAGAAAACUCUAUUAUCUCACAUGAUGCAUCCUGGACUUCACCUGCAGACUAUUCAGGUUGAUUGAUCAUUCUAAGGGUAUGGGGAAUGUGAGAGCACCUGCUUCAUUAAGUUACUUGGUUAAGAACUAUUCAUUAUAAAUUAAAUAACAAAUAACAAGAAAGGUGAUAAAUUGCACACACAGAUACACAAAUCUGCCGGGUAGGUGAUAACAGAGACAGUAACGAAAACCAGAACUGCUCAGACGGGGUGAAAGGCCACUGAAAAACUACUCAGGCACAGUCUUGAGGAUGGUCAACCUGAAC